rnacentral:rRNA from 1 species
CCUACGGGUGGCAGCAGUGGGGAAUAUUGCACAAUGGGGGAAACCCUGAUGCAGCGACGCCGCGUGAGCGAUGAAGUAUUUCGGUAUGUAAAGCUCUAUCAGCAGGGAAGAAAAUGACGGUACCUGACUAAGAAGCCCCGGCUAACUACGUGCCAGCAGCCGCUGUCAUACGUAGGGGGCAAGCGUUAUCCGGAUUUACUGGGUGUAAAGGGAGCGUAGACGGCGGUGCAAGCUAGAUGUGAAAGCCCGGGGCCCAACCCCGGGACUGCAUUUGGAACUGGGCUGCUAGAGUGUCGGAGAGGCAGGCGGAAUUCCUAGUGUAGCGGUGAAAUGCGGAGAUAGUAGGAGGAACACCAGUGGCGAAGGCGGCCUGCUGGACGAUGACUGACGUUGAGGCUCGAAAGCGUGGGGAGCAAACAGGAUUAGAUACCCGAGUAGUC